CCUACGGGAGGCAGCAGUGGGGAAUAUUGGGCAAUGGGCGCAAGCCUGACCCAGCAACGCCGCGUGAAGGAAGAAGGCUUUCGGGUUGUAAACUUCUUUUCUCAGGGACGAAGAAAGUGACGGUACCUAAGGAAUGAGCCAACGCUAACUACAUGCCAGCAGCCGCGUUAAUACGUAGGGGGCAAGCGUUAGCCGGAUUUAGUGGGUGUAAUGGGCGUGUAGGCGGGAGAGGAAGUCAGAGGUGAAAACUCAGGGCUCAACCCUGGGACUGCAUUUGAAACUGGGUUGCUUGAGUGCUGGAGAGGCAAGCGGAAUUCCGGGAGUAGCGGUGAAAUGCGUAGAUAUACGGAGGAACACCAGUGGCGAAGGCGGAUUGCUGGACAGUAACUGACGCUGAGGCGCGAAAGCGUGGGGAGCAAACAGGAUUAGAUACCCGUGUAGUC
rnacentral:rRNA from 1 species